CUACGGGAGGCAGCAGUGGGGAAUCUUGGACAAUGGGGGCAACCCUGAUCCAGCCAUGCCGCGUGAGUGAUGAAGGCCUUAGGGUCGUAAAGCUCUUUCGCCUGUGAUGAUAAUGACAGUAGCAGGUAAAGAAACCCCGGCUAACUCCGUGCCAGCAGCCGCGGUAAUACGGAGGGGGUUAGCGUUGUUCGGAAUUACUGGGCGUAAAGCGCGCGUAGGCGGACUGGAAAGUUGGGGGUGAAAUCCCGGGGCUCAACCCCGGAACUGCCUCCAAAACUAUCAGUCUAGAGUUCGAGAGAGGUGAGUGGAAUUCCGAGUGUAGAGGUGAAAUUCGUAGAUAUUCGGAGGAACACCAGUGGCGAAGGCGGCUCACUGGCUCGAUACUGACGCUGAGGUGCGAAAGUGUGGGGAGCAAACAGGAUUAGAUACCCUGGUAGUCCACGCCGUAAACGAUGAAUGCCAGUCGUCGGGCAGCAUGCUGUUCGGUGACGCACCUAACGGAUUAAGCAUUCCGCCUGGGGAGUACGGUCGCAAGAUUAAAACUCAAAGGAAUUGACGG
rnacentral:rRNA from 1 species